AUUGAACGCUGGCGGCAGGCCUAACACAUGCAAGUCGAGCGGAGCGGCGGACGGGUGAGUAAUACCUAGGAAUCUGCCUGGUAGUGGGGGAUAACGUUCGGAAACGGAAGCUAAUACCGCAUACUAUCAGAUGAGCCUAGGUCGGAUUAGCUCGUUGGUGAGGUAAUGGCUCACCAAGGCUACGAUCCGUAACUGGUCUGAGAGUACGAUCAGUCACACUGGAACUGAGACACGGUCCAGACUCCUACGGGAGGCAGCAGUGGGGAAUAUUGGAAAAUGGGCGAAAGCCUGAUCCAGCCAUGCCGAGUGUGUGAAGAAGGUCUUCGGAUUGUAAAGCACUUUAAGUUGGGAGGCGUUACCGACAGAAUAAGCACCGGCUAACUCUGUGCCAGCAGCCGCGGUAAUUC
rnacentral:rRNA from 1 species